UUCUAGGGCCCUACCAUCCUGAAGGCGCCUGUUCUUGUCUUGGAAGCUAAGCAGGAUCGGGCCUGGUUAGCACUUGGAUGGGAGUAUCCACCUCAAAGGGUAGUCGUGAGGGUUCUUUGAGC
rnacentral:rRNA from 1 species